rnacentral:rRNA from 1 species
AUUGAACGCUGGCGGCAUGCCUUACACAUGCAAGUCGAACGGCAGCACGGACUUCGGUCUGGUGGCGAGUGGCGAACGGGUGAGUAAUAUAUCGGAACAUACCUUGUAGUGGGGGAUAACUAUCCGAAAGGAUAGCUAAUACCGCAUACGCUCUAAGGAGGAAAGCGGGGGAUCGUAAGACCUCGUGCUAUAAGAGUGGCCGAUAUCUGAUUAGCUAGUUGGUGAGGUAAAGGCUCACCAAGGCGACGAUCAGUAGCUGGUCUGAGAGGACGACCAGCCACACUGGAACUGAGACACGGUCCAGACUCCUACGGGAGGCAGCAGUGGGGAAUUUUGGACAAUGGGCGGAAGCCUGAUCCAGCCAUGCCGCGUGUGUGAAGAAGGCCUUUUGGUUGUAAAGCACUUUAAGCGAGGAGGAGGCUACUUAGAUUAAUACUCUAGGAUAGUGGACGUUACUCGCAGAAUAAGCACCGGCUAACUCUGUGCCAGCAGCCGCCGUAAUAC